rnacentral:rRNA from 1 species
GACGAACGCUGGCGGCGUGCUUAACACAUGCAAGUCGAACGGAAAGGCCCUGCUUUUGUGGGGUGCUCGAGUGGCGAACGGGUGAGUAACACGUGAGUAACCGGCCCUUGACUUUGGGAUAACUUCAGGAAACUGGGGCUAAUACCGGAUAGGAGCUCCUGCUGCAUGGUGGGGGUUGGAAAGUUUCGGCGGUUGGGGAUGGACUCGCGGCUUAUCAGCUUGUUGGCGGGGUAGUGGCUUACCAAGGCUUUGACGGGUAGCCGGCCUGAGAGGGUGACCGGCCACAUUGGGACUGAGAUACGGCCCAGACUCCUACGGGAGGCAGCAGUGGGGAAUAUUGCACAAUGGGCGGAAGCCUGAUGCAGCAACGCCGCGUGCGGGAUGACGGCCUUCGGGUUGUAAACCGCUUUCGCCUGUGACGAAGCGUGAGUGACGGUAAUGGGUAAAGAAGCACCGGCUAACUACGUG